rnacentral:rRNA from 1 species
UACAGAGGUGCCGAGCGUUAGGCGGAAUCACUGGGCUUAAAGCGCGUGUAGGCGGCCCGUUAAGUGUCUUGUGAAAUCCCCCGGCUCAACCGGGGAACGGCUGGGCAUACUGGCGGGCUUGGGUCGCUCAGGGGCAGACGGAACAGGCGGUGGAGCGGUGAAAUGCGUAGAUAUCGCCUGGAACGCCGAAGGUGAAAACAGUCUGCUGGGGGCGUCCGACGCUGAGA